rnacentral:rRNA from 1 species
AGUGAACGCUGGCGGCAGGCCUAACACAUGCAAGUCGAACGGCAGCACAGCAGUAGCAAUACUGUGGGUGGCGAGUGGCGGACGGGUGAGUAACACGUGGGAAUCUACCUUGUAGUGGGGGAUAAGCCAGGGAAACUUGGACUAAUACCGCAUACGCCCUAAGGGGGAAAGGAGCAAUUCGCUAUAAGAUGAGCCCGCGUCUGAUUAGCUAGUUGGUGAGGUAAAGGCUCACCAAGGCGACGAUCAGUAGCUGGUCUGAGAGGAUGGCCAGCCACAUUGGGACUGAGACACGGCCCAGACUCCUACGGGAGGCAGCAGUCGGGAAUAUUGGACAAUGGGGGCAACCCUGAUCCAGCAAUACCGCGUGUGUGAAGAAGGCCUGCGGGUUGUAAAGCACUUUUAGUAGGGAAGAUAAUGACGUUACCUACAGAAAAAGCACCGGCUAACUCCGUG